rnacentral:rRNA from 1 species
GGCUCAGAUUGAACGCUGGCGGCAGGCCUAACACAUGCAAGUCGAAUGGUAACAGGAAACAGCUUGCUGUUUCGCUGACGAGUGGCGGACGGGUGAGUAAUGUCUGGGAAACUGCCUGAUGGAGGGGGAUAACUACUGGAAACGGUAGCUAAUACCGCAUAACGUCGCAAGACCAAAGAGGGGGACCUUCGGGCCUCUUGCCAUCAGAUGUGCCCAGAUGGGAUUAGCUAGUAGGUGGGGUAACGGCUCACCUAGGCGACGAUCCCUAGCUGGUCUGAGAGGAUGACCAGCCACACUGGAACUGAGACACGGUCCAGACUCCUACGGGAGGCAGCAGUGGGGAAUAUUGCACAAUGGGCGCAAGCCUGAUGCAGCCAUGCCGCGUGUAUGAAGAAGGCCUUCGGGUUGUAAAGUACUUUCAGCGGGGAGGAAGGGAGUAAAGUUAAUACCUUUGCUCAUUGACGUUACCCGCAGAAGAAGCACCGGCUAACUCCGUG